UAAAGUUAACUUGUGUCAAUGUGAUUUUCUGUCGGCUCAUAGAUAGCUGCCGACCACAAAGCUUCAGCAUUCAUUUGAAAACCUUUUUUUUUCUUCUUUUGUAUUAAGCAGCGUUUAUUAAUCCUACACCAAGUGGAAUGGCGAGUGUUUAAUUGAACAAUCUGUGGAUAUCUCUGGGAACAGUGACCUAAAGGCUUUGUGUUAGUGAGGGGCAUUAUGAUUGCACGUGCUUGUGGCUAACGCUAGCUAUUUUCUGUUCAUAACCAUAUCUAUUCAAAAUGCGUUUAUGUUACUGCAACUAAGAUGUUAGGCUGACGUUUUUUAAUUUUCUCUUUGUUGUGAAAAUGCAGUGGAACUGUAAGUACUGUGAUUUUAUAUCUGAGAAAAGGGGUCACCUUUUAAAACAUUACAGGUUAAAACAUGGGAGCUACACCAGAACUGUAGCAUUCCCUUGCUUACACCAAUAAUGUUUGUGCUAAUUGAAUUCCAUAAAUGCUCUUAAGGUAUACUUAUCUAAGAUUCACCCAAAUGCACAGGAGGCACACAUGUGUGAAACUGCCCAACUGACCUUUCGACUCUGAACCUGCCAUAAGCACGAUAAUGGAACGCUGGCCUGCUCUAUUCACAGAAGACCAGAUCUACAUGAAGUACAGUAGGAUUGUGGGCAAGAACCUCAAAAAAGAAUUCUUUGAGGGCAUCGAUCGGCACAGUCCUUGUCUCGUUGAAAUAUUUUGAUGUAAGAGAGGGAUCAUUGGGCAGCAGUUGACUCAGCUAUCACAAGAGACCAAGACUACAGAUCCAACAGAUAUUCGUACAAUGAUGCUCAGAGGCCUUCUCCAAUGACUUUUUCAAAGCUUGCUUUGACUCAGAUGAUGAUGAUUCCUACCAACACAUCGACAUUAGGAUCCUUCUUGUUGAGCAGUCAACAAGAAGAUGCUGCAUCUCUAUCCAGCAUCUUUGAAGAUAAUCAUUGAGGAAAAAGUGGUGAUGGUUAACAUUGAAGACCUGCUGAGGGCUGUUUGUCUUCUAUUUGGACUUGCAUACGCACUUCACCUCAACUACCCCAAGUCGAUGAAGCACAGAUUCCAGUUCAUUCAACAGGUACUUCUAUCGUUGGGCCAGAGUGCGCUAAAAUCAAGGUUGCAAACACUGAAAAAUGUAAUGAUCUUAAGUGAAGGUCAAUGUGGUUUUAGGUCAGUUAAUAGAAGAUGGUUUAAAAAAGGCCAUGCACCCACAAAAACUCAAAAUCCACAAUUUGCUUUGCCCUUUCUACAUGACUGUAUCUGUAAAAAUAAUUCUGUGGGUAUAUUUCUGACUAUUUUUCUUACGAACACAAAUUAAUUUGUUAACACUCGAUGUAUAACAUGUAUACAUGUAUAUAAAGUUUUGGUCUCAUAUGGACAAAUCCACAAGCUUGGUGUCUGGCUACACGGGAAUAGCACAUAACAAAACGUGUUUUGUUUAUUUGUAUUAUGAAAGAGUUUAUCUAAGUUUAAUGAAAGACAGGAAUUUCCAGCCAUGUGUGUUCCAUGGUACAAUAUGUGUUGUGGUGUAUGCUCAGGACUGAAUAUUGUGUUCACCAGAUUUGAAAAUUGACACGGUUUAUCUGUCCUUCUCCAGUCAGUUUAAGUUUUAGAGGCUUGUAGCCAGUUUAUAUGUCCAGUUUUUUAUACAUACAUCAGAUAUUGUUAUAUGCUGUGUGUUAUAAUCCCUCUCCAAACUAAUUUUUAUUUAGUUUAUUCAAGCUAUUUGAGUGAUUGUCAUGGGUGGUUUAUUUGCCUUAGUUUCUAACAGUACUACUAGCAACAGUGGAAGAGGCCGAUUACGUUUUAUUUGUGGUUGUUCUAAAAGGUAGACAAAAGUCAAAAAUGUCAACACUGAAUCAGUGUUUAUUACUUUGUAUUAUGUAAAAACUGAUAUAAGUAAAAAAAAAAAUGAGAGGGGAAAGGAAUUUUCAGCCACUUGUAUUGUACAGUGCAAGAUAUAGAGGCGUAUGUUUGACUGCAUUUUCUACUCAGUUAAUUUUAUGCAAUCUCUUAAACAGUGUUAAAUUGUUGUUUCCAGUUUAAAUUCACUGAUGUAUGGGUCAUAAUGUUUACAAGGAUUUAGCAGAUAUUGUUAUACAGUACGUCUGUGUUCCUUCACCAAACAAAGUGUUACAGGCAGUUUUUUUUGUGUCUGUUUAUACUUGUCCUAAAAGUAUUACUGUUAUAUAACAUUUUAAAUGUUUUUUCAAGAAUAAAAUACAUUGGAGCAUU